AUGUUUUAGUGUAGAUUUUUAUAUAUUGAAAAUUCAGAAGAUUAGCAUGGCCCUGCUCAAGAACGACACUUACAAAUCAUGAAAUGAUUCAAAAUUUU